GUGUUUUUUUCUAAACCGCUCGUCCGAAUGAAGCAACCGAUACACCGUUGGAUAGAUAUCGUCGAGGCGCAUCUUUUUCAUAUCUAUUAUUUUCUCUAAUUCAUUACGGUUUAAGAGCAGUUUCAAAUUUACUAAAUCGCGAAAUUCUGUUUUUCAAAUUGUUUUCAAAUUUUUGGCACUGUUUUCGCUCCAGUUUUUUAACCGUUUGUCAAAACGAGGCGUGUAAUAUACCGUUGAAAAGCUAUGUACGAGGCACAACUUUCAUAUGUUGAAAUGUUUUUAAGAUUCCUUACGGUUUUAAGUUAAUUUUGAAAAUCGUGCGGCCAACGAAGAGUGGCAGCGGCCGUUUUUUGGGAAAUUUUAAAAAACCGUUGGUUGGAACGAUUCAAAUGAUACGCCGUUGGAAAGAUAUCGACGAGGCGCAACUUUUUCAUGUAGAACAAUCUCUCUAAUUUUUUACGGUUUAAGAGGAAUUUCAAAUUUACCAAAAUGCGGACACUGUUUUUCGCGACACCCAAAUCGACGUGGGUACUUCAUCCGACUGAAAACCGCACUGCAUCGGACGAAAACCGCACUGCAUCAGACGGGUAAAAGAACUGCAUGGUUUUUUUAUUCAAACGUAAUUUUUUCAAGGAGGAGAAAGUAGAGUGCACUUCACAUCGGGUCUAAAUGAACCACAACACUAUCAAGAAGUGAACCGCGUUACUUUUUUCGCUUCCGUAACAAGUUUUUUGCACUUACGGGAUGAACAACAUCAUACGCCGACCGCACUGCUUCAGAAUGAAAACCGCACUGCAUCGGACGGGCAAGCGAGCUGCAUAAUUUCUUUUGUCGGCGUAAAUUUUCUUAGACGAGUUUUUGUUGUCUUUUUUCCAACUUUUUUUUACAAAAGAGAGUGGACCGCAGAGACGAGCGCAAGUGAACCACAACGUUAUCGAAAGUGAACCACAUUACUUUUUUUUUAUCAUUUUUUCUAAUAUAUUUUUAUGAAUAUGUGACAUUGAGACAAGGCAAGCGGACUGCAUCAUAUUUUUUUAGUAUUUUUUUCUGCACAAGGAAUCAAAGUGCACUGCAUAAACUAAUUUUUUUUCCUUUGCAACAACAAAGUGUACUACAGCAAGAGGGUUUAGUUUUUUGGGUGGUGACCAAAGUGAACCUGAUAGUGAACCGUGUCGUGCGAACCAAAGAAAAAAUACAAAAAAACUUCACACACAAGCCGUGCCAACCGCAAGCAGCGCCCCAAUGGACUGCAUCACUUUUUAUAUUUUUUACACUUUUUCUCACACUUUUUCAUCAGAACAAAGUGAACUUAAAAAAUGUUUUAUUUACUUCUGUAGAUCCCCGGUGAACUACACGCCCACACCACUGGACUGCACGCGUCGUGCGGGUGGGCUGCAAUCAAAUGGGAGUCCACAAAUAAGCCAAAAAUUUUACAAGGACUUCUUAAAACGGAAAAUACACAAUCGGGGGUCCCGGAAAAAUGACCAGCACCAGUUGCAGUGAAUGUUUGUCAGGUAAAACAAAACCAAAUAGCACGGGGGGCGGCUCCAACUACACGCGCGAGGUAACCUCACUGCAGCACCCGGGCGACCUAACCACAUUGGGAAGCUGGAGCGAACUGCACCCGAGAGGGCCGUCGUCGACCACCAUUUUUUUCUUGCAUCCAAGAUGACUAAAAGCUCGAGAGAGGGAAGGGGCUGAUCCCUCGCACCUGGGCUGCUCGUAAGAGAGUGGCUAGAGUUGGUGGUGGCUAGCUAGGGGCUGAAGGGCCCGGAUAUGGCGCUGGAGCGGUCUAGGGAGGCCAGCACCUCGAGCAGCAACGCGGGGUGCAGUGCAGGUCUCAUCAGUGCACACUCGCCCACUGCACAUCACCAAACAAAGGGGAGGAAAGCUUCAGUAGAGGAGUUAGACCCCUGGGAGUCAUAGGCAAACAAACAUUCAGACCAAACCGAUUGUUGAAUUUCAUAGGGCACGCCACCGAACUGCACACCACGCCCAUGACCGCUUCCAAACUACAAAGAACGCGGCACUAAACUGCAAAGUGUUUGUAACACAAAUAAAUUACAAUCAGAUCCUGGAACUUCAACAAAAAAAAUCAUAAAAUGAACUGCACGCUGGCACACCUGAACCUUAAAAUGAAUAAGGUGUGCGACAAACUGCAUCUUGCGUCGCUGGUAGAAGAAAUUUCACCGAGGAGCUUGGAGAUGUGGAGGUCGGAGCAAAUGGGAAGGCGCUGCCGUUGCAAACUGCACUCCUCGUCAUGCUUGUAGGAGACCAUCGGGGGAGGAGGAGAACUUGAGAACAGGGGCGGGCGAUGGAGCUCAUGGGCGUCGGGGGGAACAACGCCCACACCUCGUGAAUGGGUGGACCGGCUAGGGAUAGGGGAGGUCCGUCGCGGUGAGCCGGAUCCACGGCCGUCGCGGCUUGGCGGUGAAGGGGAAAGGAAUGGCAGGGGGAUGGAGACCCACGGCCGUCGCGAUCAGACGGAUCUGACGUGAGGGAGGUCAAAGUCGCUGGCUGGAAUCCGUCGGUGGCGCGUCACGCUGGAUCCGUGAGGCCACGGGGUGUCGGCGCUAGGUGGUUGCCGGGGCAGACGGCAGGGGCCGGGGGCUGGCGGCGCUAGGUGUUGGCAGGGACGGGCGGCGCGGGGGAGGGAGGUGGUGGUGCGGCGCGGUGGAGGNNNNNNNNNNNNNNNNNNNNNNNNNNNNNNNNNNNNNNNNNNNNNNNNNNNNNNNNNNNNNNNNNNNNNNNNNNNNNNNNNNNNNNNNNNNNNNNNNNNNNNNNNNNNNNNNNNNNNNNNNNNNNNNNNNNNNNNNNNNNNNNNNNNNNNNNNNNNNNNNNNNNNNNNNNNNNNNNNNNNNNNNNNNNNNNNNNNNNNNNNNNNNNNNNNNNNNNNNNNNNNNNNNNNNNNNNNNNNNNNNNNNNNNNNNNNNNNNNNNNNNNNNNNNNNNNNNNNNNNNNNNNNNNNNNNNNNNNNNNNNNNNNNNNNNNNNNNNNNNNNNNNNNNNNNNNNNNNNNNNNNNNNNNNNNNNNNNNNNNNNNNNNNNNNNNNNNNNNNNNNNNNNNNNNNNNNNNNNNNNNNNNNNNNNNNNNNNNNNNNNNNNNNNNNNNNNNNNNNNNNNNNNNNNNNNNNNNNNNNNNNNNNNNNNNGACGGCACGGUGGAGGGACGUGGUGGUGCAGCGGCGCGGUGGAGGGAGGUGUGGUGGCGGCGCAGUGGAGGGAGGUGGUGGUGCGGCGGUGCGGUGGAGGGACGUGGGGCGGGGUGGGGUGGCCGCGGCCCCGGCUGAAGGGAGGAGGUGGAGGAGUGGGUGGAGGGGAGAGUUCGUGGGUGGAGGGGAUAGGUCGUGGGUGGAGACAGUUUUCUCAGGGUGCUAUGCGAUUGUCAGCAGAAUAAUCUUAGGUGUUAGCAGAAUAAGGUCUUAAGGAGUGUUAUCAUAAUAGACCCAUACACACACACACACACAUAAACACUAUUCUAACCACAAGAUAAGAAUAUUAUUCUGAUCACAACCUGAACUUCCUGAGUUACACGCCUAAACUUCUCUCUGUACGAACCCGACCUUCGGGCUAUCUUCGCAACCGUGUCUCCCCGCACGAAUUAUUCUAUUUAGUCAUGUUCUAUAUGAUGUAAGUGUAAUCUAGAAAUUGUUUUUAGCAACUAAAUAUUGGUGAACGUAGCGGAAAUUCAAAAUUUUCUACGCAUCGCCAAGAUCAAUCUAUGGAGUAAUCUAGCAAUGAGGGGAAGGGGAGUGCAUCUACAUACCCUUGUAGAUCGCGAUGCGGAAGCGUUGCAAGAACGCGGAUGAAGGAGUCGUACUCGUAGCGAUUCAGAUCGCGGUUGAUUCCGAUCUAAGCGCCGAACCACGGCGCCUCCGCGUUCAACACACGUGCAGCCCGGUGACGUCUCCCACGCCUUGAUCCAGCAAGGAGAGAGGAAGAGGUUGGGGAAGACUCCGUCCAGCAGCAGCACGACGGCGUGGUGGUGAUGGAGGAGCGUGGCAAUCCUGCAGGGCUUCGCCAAGCACCGCGGGAGAGGAGGACAUGGAAGAGGGAAGGGCUGCGCCAAGAGGGAGAGCAAAUCAUCUGUUGGGCAGCCCCCAUACCUCAAGUAUAUAUAGGGGAAGAGGAGGGGCUGCGCCCCCACCUAGGGUUCCCUCCCCAGGGGUGGCGGAAGCCCCCAGAUCCCAUCUGGGUGGCGGCCAAGGGGGAGAAAGGGGGGGCGCACCUAGGGUGGGCCUUAGGGCCCGUCUGCUCCUAGGGUUUGCCCCCUCUCCUCUUGAGGGCGCCUUGGGCCUUGGUGGGAGGCGCCCCAGCCCACCUAGGGGCUGGUCCCUUCCCACUAUUGGCCCACGUAGGCCUCUGGGGCUGGUGGCCCCACCUGGUGGACCCCCGGGACCCUCCCGGUGGUCCCGGUACGUUACCGAUAGCACCCGAAACUUUUCCGGUGACCAAAACAGGACUUCCCAUAUAUAAAUCUUUACCUCCGGACCAUUCCGGAACUCCUCGUGACGUCCGGGAUCUCAUCCGGGACUCCGAACAACAUUCGGUAACCACGUAUACCUAUUCCCUAUAACCCUAGCGUCAUCGAACCUUAAGUGUGUAGACCCUACGGGUUCGGGAACCAUGCAGACAUGACCGAGACGUUCUCCGGUCAAUAACCAACAGCGGGAUCUGGAUACCCAUGUUGGCUCCCACAUGUUCCACGAUGAUCUCAUCGGAUGAACCACGAUGUCGGGGAUUCAAUCAAUCCCGUAUACAAUUCCCUUUGUCUACCGGUAUAGUACUUGCCCGAGAUUCGAUCGUCGGUAUCCCGAUACCUUGUUCAAUCUCGUUACCGGCAAGUCUCUUUACUCGUUCCGUAACACAUCAUCCCGUGAUCAACUCCUUGGUCACAUUGUGCACAUUAUGAUGAUGUCCUACCGAGUGGGCCCAGAGAUACCUCUCCGUUUACACGGAGUGACAAAUCCCAGUCUCGAUUCGUGCCAACCCAACAGACACUUUCGGAGAUACCUGUAGUGCACCUUUAUAGCCACCCAGUUACGUUGUGACGUUUGGUACACCCAAAGCAUUCCUACGGUAUCCGGGAGUUGCACAAUAUCAUGGUCUAAGGAAAUGAUACUUGACAUUAGAAAAGCUCUUAGCAAACGAACUACACGAUCUUGUGCUAGGCUUAGGAUUGGGUCUUGCCCAUCACAUCAUUCUCCUAAUGAUGUGAUCCCGUUAUCAACGACAUCCAAUGUCCAUGGUCAGGAAACCGUAACCAUCUAUUGAUCAACGAGCUAGUCAACUAGAGGCUUACUAGGGACAUGGUGUUGUCUAUGUAUCCACACAUGUAUCUGAGUUUCCUAUCAAUACAAUUUUAGCAUGGAUAAUAAACGAUUAUCACGAACAAGGAAAUAUAAUAAUAAUAACCAAUUUAUUAUUGCCUCUAGGGCAUAUUUCCAACACUAAAUGCCCGUUUUAAAUAGGAAACUCGCUCGUUGCCGGAUUUUGCUCUCGGUUCGUGAUGAACUUGCAUUUUUUGCAAUUUUACUGCCUGUGUUGUUCGACCUAAACUUCCCCCUGUGCUAAGUUGAACUUUCGCCAACAUUGCCCAAAUGGGGCUUGCGAUAUACCGUUGGAGAGCUAUGGACACGAGUAUCAUGACCCAAGUUAAAUUUUUGGCAAAUGUAAGCGGUUCAAGAGCAGUUUUGAAAACCGUUUUUUCUUCAUACAAAAAACGUGAAUCGUAUUUUCGAUCGCAUUUCUAAACCGUUUAUAGGAAUGAGCCGAAUAAUAUGGCGUUGGAAAGCUGCUGCGAAACCCCUCCUUCCACAUGUUGAAAGUUUUCUCUAAUUCUCUAUGGAUAAAUAGUAAUUUAGAAAAUCGUAGAAUUUCACAGACCGAACAGCCGAGUAUGUAUUUUCGAUGCCAUUUCUAAACAGCUAAUUCAAUUGAGGCAAAUGAUAUGGUGUUGGAAAGCUUAUGAAAAUGCGCUACUUUUUCAUGGGAAAAGUUUUUUCUAAUUUUGAACGGUUUAAAAGUAAUUUAGAAAAUGAUACAAGUUUCACCGAGUUUGUAUUUUUGAGCUAGUUUUUUAACCGUUCGUCCGAAUGCAGCAAAUGAUAUGACAUUGGAAAGCUUGAGAAAAUGCGAAACUUUUUGGUGUAUAUUUUCUCUCACAAUUCCUUACGGUUUUAAGUCAAUUUUGAAUAUGGACAAAAACGUAUUUUUGCCGUAAUUUCUAGAAACUUACCGGAAUGGCGCAAAUAAUAUACCGUUGAAAAGCUACGAAAAAUGCAAAACUUUUUCAUGUUGAUGGUUUUCUCCGAUUCCUAGCCGUUUUCAAGUAAUUUCGAAAACGGCGAGAUCAUUCGUUCUGCCUCUAUCUCGAAACAGAUUCUUCGAAAAUGCACCGCGUGAAUAACUUGAACUUCUCAGCAUGUCUACUUGAACUUCACUCUGUUUUCACGUGCUUUUUUGCUCAUAGCUCUCCAUCCACUCACCGGAAUUGAGCAAGUGAUAUACCGAUGGAAAGCUGCUGUAAACAUGCAACUUUCCCGUGUUGAUCAUUUUUUUCAUACUCUCGACGAUUUUAAAGUUUUUUAUCUGAAAUUCAUUCAGUGUAGUUGGUGAACUUCCUGCUGUUUUCAUGUUGAACUUCUGUGGCGUAUUUUCGUUUGUAAUUUUCUCAUCCAUUCGUCAGUGUCGCACAAACGAUAUUCCUUUUGUACAAACCUCUCUCACAAUAAUUUUUUAAACUUUCUCCGACCGAGUACUUGACCUUAUAACAAAAAAAAUUAGACCUUGCCUUUUAAUUCAUUUUCUCAUAAUAAACACACACCAUGUAGUACAUGAACUUUUCCCAUUUUUAUAAUUUGAAUUUUUAUUUUCUUUUUGAAAUCAAAUUGCUCCAAAUAAUAACUGAACUUCUUCAGGGAUUGAAAGAAUUGUUUUAAAACUCAAAAAAAAACAAUUUCUUUUUUGUGUUUUUGAACAUGGAAAUACAAGGUGAAUCUCACUCGCAAGAAUUUUUGAACUUCCACGGACAGAGCACUUGAACUUCUCUCAACAAACCUUUUAAGCUUUUAUUUUUCUAUAUACUUUUAUUCUCACCUAAAAUGCAUUCCUUACAGUACUUGAACUUCUCGUUGUUUUCACUAUGAACUUCUAUCACAUUUUUGUGUAUACGUCGAAUUACACACAAUUGAAGGUCGAACGUCAUUUUUUGCCAUUUUAAAACAUGUAAUUGGAGGUCGAACGCCUCGCAAUAUAAAUUCUGAACCGUGCACGGAGGUGUACGUGAACUUCUUGCAACAAAUCUAAGUUUUUUAUAUACUUCGAACUUCUCUGUUAUUUCAAAUUGAACUUCUUAGUCUUAUUCUUAGAAAAAAUGUGUUUUCAAAUAAGCAUCAAACAUUUUUUUAAAAUUGAACCUCAUACUUUUAUUUUCUAUAAAUGGAAAGAAUUUGAGUUUUCCGUAAACAUCAAACUACUCUUUUUAUUUUAAUUUGAACUUCUUUAAUUUUAUUCUUUAGUAACGAAGAAAACCUGUGUUUUUUAUAAAUAUUGAACUUCUUUUUAUAUAAUUUGGAAUUCUUGGUUUAUUUCUUUUAGCAUCAAAAUAUCCUAGUUUUGUCAUAAAUAUUGCAGCCCCUCCACCAUUUUUUAAAUUUUUUGAUUUAUUUGUAAAAACAUAGACACAAAUGGGAGAGAGAAUUAUAUGUGUAUAAAGUGGGUAGCAAUUUCCAACUUUCCCUCGUCGAGCACAUGAACUUCUACAAGAAAUGUUUUUCAUUUUUAUGAGUUGGUUUUAAAAAUGCCAAAAUGGCAUUGGUUUUUGUUUUUGUUUUUUGAACAUGUAAAUCUUAGGUUUUAAUAAACUCCAAACUUCCAUAUUAUUUAAAUUCAAACCUCACGUUGGUUUUAUUUUCUAUUAGCGGUUAGAAUCUGAGUUUUCAAUAAACAAUGAACCGCUCCAUUACUUUAAUUUGAACUUCUAGGUUUCUUUUAGAAACGGGGAAAUCCAUUUACUAAUUAAAUUUUUUAACUUCUUUUUGUUAUUUUAAUUUGAGCACUUGAACUUCUUGUUGAACAAGAGAAACUUUUUGAAUUUUCCAGGUCUGUGCACUUGAACUUCUAGCAACGAAACUUUUUGACUUCGCAUUUUUACUCCUAUUUUCUCAUACGAAACACACACUAUGCAGUACGCGAACUUCCGUCUGUUGUCAAUUUGAACUUCUCUCUAUUUCACUUUACUAACGAAAAAAUCUGAGUUUUUUAUAGACAUCGAACAGCUCUAACUUUUUUUUUCAACUUUUUUGUGUGCUUUUUAGAAAUGUGAAAAAUGGAGUUUUGUUAGAAACAUCCAACUUCCUCAUUAUUUCGAAUAGAUCUUCCUGGUCUUAUUCUUUCGUAACCGAAAAAACUGAGUUUUUCAAAUAAAUAUCAAAUGCUCUGCUUUUGAAAGUUGAACUUCUUUGAAUUUAUUAUUUAGUAAAGAGAAAAAACUGAGUUUUUAAUAUGCAUUGAACUACUCUGUUUUUUAAAAUCGAACUUCGCGAUCUUAAUCUUUAGUAUCGGACAAAAUUUAAGAUUUUUAUAAACAUCAAACAGCUUCCUUUUUUUAAUUAGGACUUCUUUAUGUUAUUUAUUAGCAAAGGGAAAAGUUCUAGUUAUGUAAUAAACAUCGAACCGCUCACUUUUUUAAAUUUUAACUUCUAGAUCUUAAAGAAAAAACAGGGGCAAAUCCAUGUUUACAAACUUUUUAAACUACUCGAUUUUCUUAAUUCGACCUUCUUGGUUUUGGAAUAAAUAUGUUGAACUACUAUGUUAAAUAAUUUGAACUUCUCCAUUUUGUAGUAAAAUAUAGAAACCUCAUUUUUUAUAAACUUUCCAAAUUGCUUCAUUUUUUAUUUUUGAACUUCUUUGUUUAUUCUAUAGUAACAGGGAAUAUCACAAGUUUGUAAUAAACCUUGACCGUCCCAUUAUUUAAAUUUGAACUUCAAGGUAUUUUUCAGAAAUGGUUUAACUUAUAAAACAAAUUUAUGGUUUUUUCCAUUUUCUAUGAACUCACUAUGUUAUAUCUUGUGAAGUCCUGUUUUUUUGUCUCGCGACAUUGUUAGGCAUUUUUGUUGUCGGUGAAAUGGCCUAGGCGGUCCUUUUUCCAUUGAUGAAUUUCUUCACUACAUGGUACACGUGAGCUUAAAUUUUUUUGAAACAUGAACUUCGCAUGCUAUUGAAAAUCAAGAAAAUUACACAACUAUAUACAUACACUUCAUGUGCUGUGUGCACGACCAACACAUUAGCAAGCUUAGUGCCAACAUAUACAUAAGUAGCAGCACACUAAUAUUACAUUGUUUUUGUUCUGAUCAUUCAGAAUGUUGUAUCUUCCAAGAGGAUGGAGAAUGAUAAAUCUACAGGAAGACCAUAUGUAGAAAAGCAACAUCAUAAUCUUUAACCAUGGACAACAGCAAGUUCAAACACAAAACCAAGGACUAUAAUAGCUAAACUCUCAUAGAAAUCUCUCUCUAGCAUUCUAGUUGAACUUCAACAGUAGCGCACCAACAUUAGCUAGAGGGCGAGGCAGGCCGCAGCAACAGCUGCUAACAGCGACCAGCAAAUGGAGGCUGGGUCGUGACGGCGGCACCGAGAUGGAGGAGGUGCCAGGGCAUGGCAGGCAAAAAUAACUGUGAUUGAAUAGUCUCAAUCAGGUAGGUAGGCGUUACAAGAAAAGAAAUAGCAAGUACAUCAAGUUUCAGUGCCUCUUUCACACACAGAUGUACAACAAAAUUGGCAUACCUUCUUAUAUAGAUGAACUUGAACCCCUAAAAACUUGUGAGAUAUGAACAUCUUUCGAAAGCCAUCGACCGCCUCAAAAAAAUCCCUGGAAUCCUCUGACAUCGUGCAUCAAACUUGGUCUUCAGUCUCAAUAAUAUUAUUUCAGAAUCCUUUUUUCAAUCGCCAUCAACAUGGUUGUCAUUGCAGGCAAACUAUCAACUUUACGAUUCUAAAAGUACUAGCUUUUGGCAAAAUGUGUACAAGCUACUCAAGAAAUUGAAGAUAGUUGCAAACAACAUACGAGCUACAGCCUAGCGAUUUUUGCAAGUACGUGAGUGAAGACUUGUGAUUGUUCUGAUUCUGAACUUCACAUUUUUCUGAUUCUGAACUUGUGAUUGUUCUUUUUUCGCAGGGUGCAGUGCAACUGCCGGUGUUGGGAGGCUGGCUUCGCUCCAUCAGGUAGCUUCGUCCACCGCCGCACAGGACGGCGAGGAGGGGAUGAAGGAAAGACAGACCUGGCAGCAAGCGGGGGAGGAGCCGGAGCAGCGCCAUGUCGGGGAUGCAUGGUGUCAGCAGCUAUGUUUUUUAUAAAACCUAAAUCACUUCACAGAACAUAGUUAAAUAUUUUAACAUCACAAAAAGCUAUGUUUUUUUAUACAAGAAGUUGUUUUUCUAGGUAGUAGCACGUGCUUGCGUUGCACACGUUCCUCUACCACACACAUAUUUAUCCUCUCACGUGCUUCCAUUCUCCCCCUGUUUAACUCUGAACUCGUGUUGCACUACCAAAAGCUAACAGCAAAUGCAAUCCUAAUUAACAUACGAUGCAGAGCAUCAUCUCCGGUCAAAGCGAGGAAGCCUUAAUUGACAAAAUUGCAAAAAAUUUGUACUUCCGGCCUUGGGUGUGCUGGGCAGCGGCGGUGCGCUUUUCUUGUUGUUGAAUCCACGAGUGAUCCAACUAACACAAAGUCAAGUUGAACUCCAUGUUUUUUUUAGAGGGAAACCUUGUGUUCAGCAGCCAUGUCCUUGUCGUUUCAAUCGUAUGAACUUCAUAGGAAUUGGGAAUGAAACUCGUGGCUGGUGUUACCUUCUUUUUGCUAGCCAUCUGAUUGAGGAAAGAGAGCACCCGCUGGUUGCCGAGAGAGCCUGGAUCGCGCCAGGAUCUGUUCCAUUCAUGAACACAAACAUAUGAGCUGAGACCACGAGAGAAGCUAAAAGUACACAACUCGAACACCGGUCAUGAAAUUUUCUGCACCGCAAACGUUGUUGAAUCCAUUUCUUUAACUGUUAAGAACGGAUGGUUUUCUUUUGUCAACGAUCUCUUCUAACAUAUGUGCUAAAACUGCUAAAAAUGAGCAUUUUUGCUAUAAUGCAUAUAAUGAACCUCUUAAUUUCAGACAUGAAAACUAAAUAAUUGUGUUUAUACGCAGUCGAACUGAUUCACAGAGGAGAUGAGGAGGUUGACAGAGAGAGAUGGUUGCAGCCGAAGCCGGUAUAGGCGGCUGGCCGCGCCACCGAAGCGCCGGUGAAAGGGAGUGCCGUCGCCAACAGCGGGAGAUGAGGCACGUGGAGGCACAGGGUCAGCGGCCGCUGGCUCGAGGAAUAGCAUGUAAAAACCAAAACUGAAAAAUUCAGUACACAUUCUGUCGAACAUGAAAACUAGAAAAUUCUGUUCAUCUUCAGAAAGGAAGAUGCUGUAGCAACUAGAUUUGUAGGAGAAGCAUCAUGCUAGAAUAAGUUAGACUGCACAUAUUCUUCUUUUGUGAACUUCUGCAACUAUAUGCAGGUCGUGGGGAGGUGAGCGGCGGCAGCACACGCGAGCAUGGUCGCUUCUAUACAUUAUACAUUGCUGCUAACCAAAAUCACAAAACAUGCUGAACGUGUAUGGGAUGGAAGUGGUGUGCUCAGCCUCACCUUGACUGUUGUGGACUGCUGCUCGCGAUGGCCUCGACCUCCCUGACACAGCGCGGCUGGACUGGGAUGGCGCUUGGUUUCGUUGGGUUAAUCGGGAGGAGGCGGAGGUGUGGUAUUCAGGAUGAGGAAGAAGGGCGGCGCGGGAGUUCCACCUGGAGGAAGAAGGGCGCCUGAGGCUAGGAUGGUUGGGGCGACGCCGGUUGAUUCGGGGGAAGGGGAGGGGUAGCGCGGUGGCGGAGGAAGCCAGAUCCGAGCGCGCCGGGAGGGAUGACAGAGUGUGAUUGGGACGGAUAGGCAGCAAGAGGAGGCGCGCGACCUCUGCGCCCUGCAGGGGCGGUGCUGGUCGCCGGUGGAGGUCCAGCAGCUGGAGACACGCUGGGAUCCGAGGCGGGCGACGCGAGGCGUGCUGGGGACGAGGGGCAGGCGGGGGUUGGACGGCGACGGGAGGCUCGCCGGGGCAGUGGGAGCGGCGGCGGGAGGCGCGGCAGGGCCAGGGAGGCAGCGGCGGGAGGCGCACCGGAGCCAGGGGCCGGCAGCGGAAGGCAGUCGGGCGGA
rnacentral:lncRNA from 1 species